rnacentral:rRNA from 1 species
CACGUAGGCACCAAGCGUUGUCCGGAUUUAUUGGGCGUAAAGAGCUCGUAGGCGGUUCGGUAAGUCGGGUGUGAAAACUUUGGGCUCAACCCAAAGCCUGCACCCGAUACUGCUGUGACUCGAGUCCGGUAGGGGAGUGGGGAAUUCCUGGUGUAGCGGUGGAAUGCGCAGAUAUCAGGAGGAACACCGGUGGCGAAGGCGCCACUCUGGGCCGGUACUGACGCUGAGGAGCGAAAGCGUGGGGAGCGAACAGG